UACGUAGGGUGCGAGCGUUAAUCGGAAUUACUGGGCGUAAAGCGUGCGCAGGCGGUUUGUUAAGCCAGAUGUGAAAGCCCCGGGCUCAACCUGGGAACUGCGUUUGGUACUGGCAAGCUAGAGUGCGGCAGAGGGGGGUGGAAUUCCACGUGUAGCAGUGAAAUGCGUAGAGAUGUGGAGGAACACCGAUGGCGAAGGCAGCCCCCUGGGCCGACACUGACGCUCAGGCACGAAAGCGUGGGGAGCAAAC
rnacentral:rRNA from 1 species